rnacentral:rRNA from 1 species
CUGCAGCUCAAGUGGUGGCCGCUAUUAUUGGGCCUAAAACGUCCGUAGCCGGUUUAGUAAAUGCCUGGGUAAAUCGUGUAGCUUAACUAUACGACUUCCGGGUAGACUGCUAGACUUGGGACCGGGAGAGGCUAGAGGUACUCCUGGGGUAGAGGUGAAAUUCUGUAAUCCUAGGGGGACCACCAGUGGCGAAGGCGUCUAGCUAGAACGGGUCUGACGGUGAGGGACGAAGCCCUGGGGCGCAAACCGGAUUAGAUACCCGAGUAGUCC